ensembl:rRNA 5S_rRNA 5S ribosomal RNA
GCUUACGGCCAUACCACCCUGAGAACGCCCGAUCUCGUCUGAUCUCGGAAGCCAAGUAGGGUCGGGCCUGGUUAGUACUUGGAUGGGAGACCGCCUGGGAAUACCAGGUGCUGUAAGCU